rnacentral:rRNA from 1 species
CACGUAGGGUGCAAGCGUUGUCCGGAAUUAUUGGGCGUAAAGAGCUUGUAGGCGGUUUGUCGCGUCUGCUGUGAAAUUUCGGGGCUCAACCCCGAACUUGCAGUGGGUACGGGCAGACUAGAGUGUGGUAGGGGAGACUGGAAUUCCUGGUGUAGCGGUGAAAUGCGCAGAUAUCAGGAGGAACACCGAUGGCGAAGGCAGCUCGCUGGGACGGUACUGACGCUGAGACGCGAAAGCGUGGGGAGCAAACAGG